rnacentral:rRNA from 1 species
UACGUAGGGUGCAAGCGUUGUCCGGAAUUAUUGGGCGUAAAGAGCUCGUAGGCAGUUUGUCACGUCGGAUGUGAAACCCUGAGGCUCAACCUCAGGCCUGCAUUCGAUACGGGCAGACUAGAAUUCGGCAGGGGAGACUGGAAUUCCUGGUGUAGCGGUGAAAUGCGCAGAUAUCAGGAAGAACACCCGUGGCGAAGGCGGCUUUCUGGGACGGUACUGACGCUGAGACGCGAAAGCGUGGGGAGCGAACAGG